UGAGGAUCCAAGCCAGGACUAGAACAAGGCUGUGCUUCCCACUCACACCAUGGAUGAAAAUCAAUUUCACCUGCUCUGAGGUUACGCGGAGGGAAGCCUCACUGUUGCUCCCAUGUUUAUGUGCCCACUCACGGACUUGACAUCGGCUGCACUCAGGACACCUAGAGUCGGUGAGGACCACGUCCUGCCUGAAGAGACAGGUCCACCUUUGGCCCAGGACCCAGGGCAUGCUGGGAGAAAGAGUCCGAGGAAGACCUGCGGAUGUGAGCUCUGCCGGGCUCAAGUGCCAUCUCUUGGCUUGGGGAGAGCAGGGCAUCUUGAAUGACAGCCUCGGCAGACUGCUCGCACGAUUCCAAAUGGAAAUCAGGACACUGUUACUGAGGGAGAAGCGGGGAGAGUGGAUGUUGGAUGCCAGAAAGCUGAAAACGCACAUGAUACUGGGAGUUGGUGAGGAGCCCAGACAGCCUCCAACCCUCUGGCUGUGGGGUGAGUCUUUUUCCUCCUCUCACGGACAUCCCUGAGGCCUGGGCACCUUUUUCGGUGAGGAAGACGUGAAGACAUUGCUUGAUUCUAGGCUGAUGGGUGAUUCUGAAAGGUGGCUUUGAGAGACGGGCCAGUUGUGGUCAUAGGGCUAAGAGAUGACAGCCUCAAGGAGCUGGGGCCCCUGAUCCAGAGCACAGCCCCCCACCCAGCUAAGCUGCAGCCGUGGGGCCCACGGCGGGGGUUGGGGAGAACGUCAUGCGCACCAAGUAUGAGGGCUCCCUGCCCAUUCUCCACACUUUAAAGCUCUGGGACAGAAAGGGUCAGGAGAGCAUGAGUGGGGUCUGAACAAAACUGCACCUCCCCUCAGCCACCAAGAUAGGGUCCCAGGCUGGAGAGGGAGGAAGACAGCCCGAGAGGUCUUCGAGAUGACCCACCCAAACCUUUUACUUUAAGAGGGAAACUGAGGCUGGAGAGGGGAAGGCAGCACCCACGUUGGUACCAUCGCCUGACCCAGGGCGUCCUCCCAGCCCCUGCUGGGGCCACCCCCCAUCACCCAGUCUACCAACCACCCCUGAUUCAGCACCUGCUGUGUGCAGCUCUGUGGGUGCCCUGAGCUGAUAAACCUACUCUCUACCCUCAGGGAGUUUAUAGCCAAUAAAGAGGAAACAAGGAAACAAAAAACCAGAAUAAACACCUGGAGGUGGAGGGUUUUACCUCAGGGACUCAGGUGGCUGCCUCUCUGGCCUCCGAUGGCCCCAAAGGCUUGCACUUUUGCCUUGAGAAAAAUGGUCAAGCUAGAAUAUUUGAGAGACAGAAGCUGCAGAAGAGGCCAGAGGGAAGUUGGUGUGUGUGUGUGUGCGCACGCGCAUGCAUGCCAGUGUGGCUGAAGUCUGGGUCCUUUCUUUCUCUGCCUCCCUGUCAGGUGUUGCUGGGAGCUGGGGUUAUUCAUGGGGUGCCUGCUUCUGGGGGGAGAUGGAUGGUUGUGAUGUUUUCCGUGGCCCCAUGUUCUUAGGUUAGCCAAAGCUUUUGAAAAUGAAGAUGGUAUCACUUAGAAUCAAAAAAAAAAAAAAAAAAACAUUUACAAAACAGAGACAAACUCACAGAAAUAGAAAACAAAGUUAUGGUUACCGGAGGGGAACUGGGUGGGGAGGGAUAAAUCAGGAGUGCAGUAUUUGUAGAUCCUACUGUAUACAAAACAGAUAAACAACAAGGUCCUAUUGUGUAACCAGGGAACUAUAUUCCAUACCUUGUAAUGGCCUAUAAUGAAAAAUAAUAUGAAAAGGAAUAUAUAUAUAUAUACGUAUAUAUAAAUGAAUAACUAUGCUGUACACUAUAAAUUAACACAUUGUAAAUCAACUGUACUUCAAUUUUUAAAAAAAGACCAAAAAAAAAAAAAAUUCCCUGGAACUGGCGUUCCCACCUGGGCCUCGGCUGCUCUUGUGCAGAAGCCCAGUGACCUUCCUCUACGCCUGUUCAAACCUUCCUCCUGGUCCUCCAAGUCCCAGCUCAAAGGCCUGUCCACCCUUCUCGUUCAGAAGCCUCUUCAGCAACCCUGUCCCUGGAACCCGGUCUCUGCAGAUCCAGAGGGAAGUGCCCAGGGCCCGCCUCAUAUUUUGGCUUUUCAGUAGGGCCACCCGCAUACAGUGAGAACUGAUGAAUUGGACCCUCUCUCCAUUGGACCCCUGGUGUUUGCCCACCCACUUUCCCUUCCUAGGCACGAUCCCAAAUGGCAUCUGCCCAGAAAUGCUUUAUA